GACGAACGCUGGCGGCGUGCUUAACACAUGCAAGUCGAACGGAAAGGCCCUGCUUUUGUGGGGUGCUCGAGUGGCGAACGGGUGAGUAACACGUGAGUAACCUGCCCUUGACUUUGGGAUAACUUCAGGAAACUGGGGCUAAUACCGGAUAGGAGCUCCUGCUGCAUGGUGGGGGUUGGAAAGUUUCGGCGGUUGGGGAUGGACUCGCGGCUUAUCAGCUUGCUGGUGGGGUAGUGGCUUACCAAGGCUUUGACGGGUAGCCGGCCUGAGAGGGUGACCGGCCACAUUGGGACUGAGAUACGGCCCAGACUCCUACGGGAGGCAGCAGUGGGGAAUAUUGCACAAUGGGCGGAAGCCUGAUGCAGCAACGCCGCGUGCGGGAUGACGGCCUUCGGGUUGUAAACCGCUUUCGCCUGUGACGAAGCGUGAGUGACGGUAAUGGGUAAGAAGCACCGGCUAACUACGUG
rnacentral:rRNA from 1 species